rnacentral:rRNA from 1 species
UACAGAGGGGGCAAGCGUUGUUCGGAAUUACUGGGCGUAAAGGGCGCGUAGGCGGCCUUCUAAGUCAGACGUGAAAUCCCUCGGCUCAACCGGGGAACUGCGUCUGAGACUGGAAGGCUUGAAUCCGGGAGAGGGAUGUGGAAUUCCAGGUGUAGCGGUGAAAUGCGUAGAUAUCUGGAGGAAUACCGGUGGCGAAGGCGGCAUCCUGGACCGGCAUUGACGCUGAGGAGCGAAAGCCAGGGGAGCAAACGGG